rnacentral:rRNA from 1 species
GGUUAAGUUAAUAAGGGCGCACGGUGGAUGCCUUGGCACUAGGAGCCGAAGAAGGACGUGACAAACGACGAAAUGCCUCGGGGAGCUGUAAGUAAGCUUAGAUCCGGGGGUG